rnacentral:rRNA from 1 species
AACGCUAGCUACAGGCUUAACACAUGCAAGUCGAGGGGAAACGACAUCGAAAGCUUGCUUUUGAUGGGCGUCGACCGGCGCACGGGUGAGUAACGCGUAUCCAACCUGCCCACCACUUGGGGAUAACCUUGCGAAAGUAAGACUAAUACCCAAUGAUAUCUCUAGAAGACAUCUGAAAGAGAUUAAAGAUUUAUCGGUGAUGGAUGGGGAUGCGUCUGAUUAGCUUGUUGGCGGGGUAACGGCCCACCAAGGCGACGAUCAGUAGGGGUUCUGAGGGGAAGGUCCCCCACAUUGGAACUGAGACACGGUCCAAACUCCUACGGGAGGCAGCAGUGAGGAAUAUUGGUCAAUGGGCGAGAGCCUGAACCAGCCAAGUAGCGUGCAGGAAGACGGCCCUAUGGGUUGUAAACUGCUUUUAUAAGGGAAUAAAGUGAGAGUCGUGACUCUUUUUGCAUGUACCUUAUGAAUAAGGAUCGGCUAACUCCGUGCCAGCAGCCGCGGUAAUACGGAGGAUCCAAGCGUUAUCCGGAUUUAUUGGGUUUAAAGGGAGCGUAGAUGGAUUUUUAAGUCAGUUGUGAAAGUUCGGGGCUCAACCCCGUAAUUGCAGUUGAUACUGGAUAUCUUGAGUACAGUUGAGGUAGGCGGAAUUCGUGGUGUAGCGGUGAAAUGCUUAGAUAUCACGAAGAACUCCGAUUG